CCUGCUUUAUUGUGACAUCAGACUGUGACAAGAUUCUACCACACAGACCAGUGUAUAUAAGCAGGACCGGGAUAGGGGUGACAGGAUUCUUAUCAUUUCAGGGCACGAGGAGCACGUGACAGAUCCUACUGGUAAAGACGAGAAUCACCUAGGAGCCCAGACAGAAGCAGUGUUCCCCGCGGUCCUGCUUCUUAGUCAGGAGGGGGCGCCAGAGAACUACAUUGAUCUGUGUGCUCUGUGCUCGAUUGAUAAAACCUGGUCCAGCCAGGCUGCAGAAAAUAAAAGUCCAGGGAAAAAAAAGACAAAGAAAUUCGAAACCAGUCACCAAACACAGGAGAAGUUGCCUCAAACCUUGGACCGUAUAUAGGAUAACGGUGUCCUCACCAGCUCAGUAAAGACAGUUAUGCGUAACCUGAGGUUGGUGUGUUCAUUUACUACCCGUGUCUGUCCCAGGAGAAGUUGCCUCAAACAUUGGACCGUAUAAAGGAUAACGGUGUCCUGGCAUCACGAAGUGAUCAGGAUGGAAUUCUUCAUCGAGGCUGUCAUUUAGAAUAACUGUAGGAUCAGUGCUGUAUCUCUGGAUAAAGCUGUCUUCUCUGUUAGGUGGACCCUGUGUGGAGUUAACAAAAACGCAAAUGAGAAAUUUACUGGAAUACUAUAGCACAGCUUAGAAUUGUAGCAGGAAGGGCUGGCUGGCAAAGGCCCUGGGUACAAAUUGCCAAGAGGACACAGGGAAUUCAUUUUGGCUAAAGUUUGUAGAGUCAAAACUUGGGCUUAUAUGCAUAUUUGCCUUAAAAUGGGUUUGAUACAUUUCCCUCUAUGAGUUUACAGAAAUAGCAUUACAAUAUGGUACUUUUCAGCUCUACUUCUUCAGCACUAAAAGAUUUAUAAUGGCACACAAAGAGAGGCAGGUAGCAUGGUGGGUGGUAUAGUGCAAAGGCAACUAUGUGGCGGAUGAAGAAUCUUGUCCACAGAUUCUAUGAAUUUAACCCCUUCAUUACUUAGCCCCUUUUCACCUUAAUGACCAAUGCCUUUUUUUCAAUCUGACAUGUGUCUCUUUAUGUGGUAAUAACUCUGGAACGCUUUUACUUAUCAACCCAAUUCCGAGACUGUUUUUUCGUGACAUAUUUUACUUUACAUUAGUGGUAAAUUUUGAUUGAUAUAUUCAGCGGUUCUUGUAAAAAAAAUGAAAAAUUUGGCGAAAAAAAUUAAAAAUGUUCAUUUUUCUAGACUUUACCUUUCUGCUCGUACGAUAGUCAUAUCACACCAAAUUAAUGAUUAAUUCACAUCUACAAUAUGUCUAAUUUAUGUUCCCAUCAUUUGAUAAACAUUAUUUUACUUUAUUAGAAUGUUAGAAGGUUUAUAAGUUUAGCAGCAAUUUUCCAGAUUUUCAAGAAAAUUUCAAUAUCUGAUUUUUCAGGGACCAUUUCAGUUCUGAAGUGGAAUU